rnacentral:rRNA from 1 species
AGCGAACGCUGGCGGCAGGCCUAACACAUGCCAGUCGAACGCCCCUUCGGGGGAGUGGCGGCCGGGUGAGUAACGCGUGGGAAUGUGCCCUUUGGUACGGAACAACUGAGGGAAACUUCAGCUAAUACCGUAUGUGCCCUACGGGGGAAAGAUUUAUCGCCAUUGGAGCAGCCCGCGUUGGAUUAGGUAGUUGGUGGGGUAAUGGCCCACCAAGCCGACGAUCCAUAGCUGGUCUGAGAGGAUGAUCAGCCACACUGGGACUGAGACACGGCCCAGACUCCUACGGGAGGCAGCAGUGGGGAAUCUUGCGCAAUGGGCGAAAGCCUGACGCAGCCAUGCCGCGUGAAUGAUGAAGGUCUUAGGAUUGUAAAAUUCUUUCACCGGGGAAGAUAAUGACGGUACCCGGAGAAGAAGCCCCGGCUAACUUCGUG